ensembl:snRNA LOC120096083 U2 spliceosomal RNA
AUCGCUUCUCGGCCUUUUGGCUAAGAUCAAGUGUAGAAGAUCAUUUCCAGGAAAACUUAACCCCUUUUUGAGGGCAAGGGUAAGAGCUGCUCUCUCAAACAUGGAAGAAGUGAGGAGACAAUCUCGGCUUUGAGGGAAUUUUUCCCCCACUCCCUGAUUUCUGCACUCUGGGGCUCAGGGCACCUCGG